rnacentral:lncRNA from 1 species
UCUCCUAAAUAAUAGAAGAUUAACUACCCCAUUCCCCCGCUCCUAGAAGCAAUCUUUACUUCCCAGAGAUCUAAGAUCCAAACCUAGGAACUCCUAUAAAUACAUCAACCCUAAGGGUAAGAGUGGAUUGAAUGUCAUUUGACACAUAUACUACAUACGCAUAGAUUUUCACCUCCUACGCGAAAUAGCUCAAAGCCCAACAACAAACCCUAAAAGUCUUUGACAAUCCUUAAUCACUAGGGAUUUUCACAUAUUGUACUUUUAGCAAGUAUAAUCUUU